rnacentral:rRNA from 1 species
AUUGAACGCUGGCGGCAGGCCUAACACAUGCAAGUCGAGCGGAUGAAGGGAGCUUGCUCCUGGAUUCAGCGGCGGACGGGUGAGUAAUGCCUAGGAAUCUGCCUGGUAGUGGGGGAUAACGUCCGGAAACGGGCGCUAAUACCGCAUACGUCCUGAGGGAGAAAGUGGGGGAUCUUCGGACCUCACGCUAUCAGAUGAGCCUAGGUCGGAUUAGCUAGUUGGUGGGGUAAAGGCCUACCAAGGCGACGAUCCGUAACUGGUCUGAGAGGAUGAUCAGUCACACUGGAACUGAGACACGGUCCAGACUCCUACGGGAGGCAGCAGUGGGGAAUAUUGGACAAUGGGCGAAAGCCUGAUCCAGCCAUGCCGCGUGUGUGAAGAAGGUCUUCGGAUUGUAAAGCACUUUAAGUUGGGAGGAAGGGCAGUAAGUUAAUACCUUGCUGUUUUGACGUUACCAACAGAAAUAGCACCGGCUAACUUCGUG